rnacentral:rRNA from 1 species
CGCUGGCGGCGUGCCUAAUACAUGCAAGUCGAGCGGACCCUUCGGGGUCAGCGGCGGACNGGUGAGUAACACNUGGGUAAUCUGCCCAACUGACCGGAAUAACGCCUGUAAACNGGUGCUAAUGCCGGUAUAGGCAACGUAGGAGGCAUCUCCUUGUUGGGAAAGGUGCAACUGCACCGCAUCAUGGAGGAGCCCGCNGCGCAUUAUCUAUUUGGUGGGGUAACGGCCUACCAAGGCGACAAUGCGUANCCGACCUGAGAGGGUGGACGGCCACACUGGGACUGAUACACGGCCCAGACUCCUACGGGAGGCAGCAGUAGGGAAUCUUCCGCAAUGGGCGCAAGCCUGACNGAGCAACGNCGCGUGAGCGAANAAAGCCUUCNGGUUGUAAAGCUCANUCACUCNGGAAGAGCGGACUANNGAGUGGAAAGCCUUCGUCGANACGGUACCGAGAGAAGAAGCCCCGGCUAACUACGUGNCAGCAGCCGCGGUAAUACNUAAGGGGCAAGCGUUGUCCGGAAUCACUGGGCGUAAANCGUGCGUANGCCGUCUCNUGUGUCUGGGGGUGAAANUNCNGGGCUCCACUCUGGGAANGCCUUGGGAAACUGCCUNACUUUANUNCUNGAAAGGCCANNGGGAAUUCCCCUGUUAACCGUGGAAUGCNUAAAUUUUCGGAGGAA